rnacentral:rRNA from 1 species
GUGCCAGCCGCCGCGGUAAUACGGAGGGUGCGAGCGUUGUCCGGAAUCACUGGGCGUAAAGGGCGCGUAGGUGGCGCGGUGAGUCGGUGGUGAAAGCUCGGGGCUCAACCCCGAGUCGGCCAUCGAUACUGCCGGGCUCGAGCAUCGUAGAGGCAGGUGGAAUUCCGGGUGUAGCGGUGGAAUGCGUAGAGAUCCGGAAGAACACCGGUGGCGAAGGCGGCCUGCUGGGCGAUGGCUGACACUGAGGCGCGACAGCGUGGGGAGCAAACAGGAUUAGAUACCCCAGUAGUCC